CCCGUCGAGACGUGUACCGAUUAGGAAUCGCCCUGUCUGUACCAGGUCUUCGUGUUCGUCUACGCAGACGACAUUCUACUGAUGACAGUGGGUAACACACACAUAAUUCCACGCAUCAGGAUACAGGCAGCUACCAUUGCCAUCAGCCGAUGCGCUGCCGGAAGAGGAUUUAGUCUUCCAGUGCAGAAGAGCGGACAUAUAGUGAUAUGCAGGAUUCCAGGGUCUGACUAUACAAAAACUACAUCCCUCACCGAAAAACACUAAUGAUCCUUGGAGUGUUGGUUGACAACAAACAUAGCUUCAUCCGUUAAGGAGAAGUGUGUCAUCUGGUUGAAUCUGUUGAAAAGCAGCCGCCUCAUCUAUGGCUUCGAGCUGACGUGAUUGGCUGGAGACAAACUCCCAAACACUCUGGCACCCAUCUACAACAAGGCACUAAGGACUGUCUCCGGCAUACUACCGUCAACACCAGCUACCUCUGUCUGCACUGAAAUUGGAGAGCCUCAUUUCGACCUCAUCAUCGGCUCAGCGAUCGUAUCCAGGACUGCCAGAUUCUCGUCGAAAACCAGCGGUAGGAAGGAGACGGACCUAACUGCUCUUACAAAACGAUCCUGCAACGGCUCAAAAGGAUCAUCAGGAGUUGGAUUCGGGGUAAGCGAUGGUAAUAACAAUCUGAUUUACAGCAAGAAACUCGCUGCUAGGUCUUGUCAGCCAAGGUGGUUUGCAUCUUCGAGGCAACCACAAUUUCAUCUUCCAAGCCGCUGUUGAUCGUCUCCAAUUCGACGAGUGCCAUUGAUGCUAUCGGUGCGGCCAGGUCCUAACUAUCAUGGGUACAUGCCAUCAGGAAGUACCUAUUGCCCGACACUAGGAUCAUGUAGGUCCCCUGUCAGAGUGGUAUCACAGUGGACCAUUUUUCACUCGAUCGAGAGGUGGUUUGCAGAGAUGGCAAUUCCUCAACCAAGGUGUCGAUUGUCAAGUUCGAUGAUGUAAAAAGAAUGAGAGAACAACGAGUCCUGUUCAGACUGAGCACCGGUCAUAGCUCGGUCUCACACGGAAUCAACAGAGAACCUUUUUUUCACAACUUCGUCUAACACUUCUUGUGUGGUUGUCCGAAAUACGAUGAUCUACGAAAUCUCUAUGGACACAGCGAGAAUGUACGAAAUGAACGACGAUUCAACGAGACUAGCAGUGCUUUUCUGCUACUUAGAAGUGCCGAACUAUUCUUCAGGAUCUAACGUCUGAAGUUCAGACUCUGAUCAAUGGAUCAGCCAAGAAGAUCCUUGUUCCUACCCAUCCACGAUAAAGGGGGAAUAACACCAUUUUGGUAUCUUUAGCGGCACGGCUCCCUCUCCAAUAGCCUGGAGCCAUGGCCCGAGGACAUCAUUGCCUUCUAGUCCAGCAAUUUAUUUUGUUAAAAUAUUUUCUAAAAUGUUUUUAUAUGUGUUUAAUUUUCUUGUCUUUUGAAGUUCAACUUUGAUGUAACCAUUUUAUGUGAAAUGAUUUUUUUCUAACCAAGCCUGUCUACUGCCAUCGAUACGUAGGCAAACCAGUCAGGAGUCUGAAAGCCUCUCAAAUAGAGAUAAAAAAAUUAGAUGGUCAGAGCUAGCAAAACGUUGGUUGUUAUUUGACAGAAUAACGAGUUGCACUACCUAUGCACGUGAACUACGAGGAAGUGGGAUCGGUCGCAAUGAAUUUGGGAAACGAUUGUGGAAUGGCAUAGUUCCUACGAUAAAUCCUUAUUAUUAGUUUUUCAUGUUUGUACGAAAAUCGAACAUCGCAAGUAGAUUCCACUUUUCAUAAAUGAUUACAAUUUCGCAAAGUAUCGAAAUUUCUUCAAUUCCUAAAAGCAAAUCCCCAUUUUGUUGACUUCUACACGGCAAUUUUUUUAAAUUUGGAGAGGUAUUACAAUAAAAAUGUAUUAAAAAUAUUUUAAAGGCAAAAGAGAGAUAAAAGUUUUUGAUAUGAAAUAGAAUUUUUGAAAGAGAUUUUUCAACAGUGUAUUUAAAAUGUAGUUUUUUUCAACAACUUUGCGGUACAUCAUAUUUUAAUCAGAUAUUGGAUUUCGAGUUUGAUCACAUAAUGAUGAAAAGUUAGAACAAUAAUUCAAUCGUUUUGCUGUCGAAAGAUGCUGUUAUAUGGUAUGUUACGAUAGCGUUCUUAGGUGGGAUUUCAAUGCUAAUCUUUUUUGUUUGAGAAACUAUAAAUGAUUGUGAUAAGUUGAACAACUUGGUAACCCUUCCAAAUGUUUUGAAUAUAUGAAUCCUCCUUUAGUCCUAACCGUUCGAUAUCGAUAGAGAAAAGAACGUUACGAUGGCUUGCCGUACAAAAAAAUGUAUGCAACAGUGGUUAGCCGAAUAUGUAUUUAUUAUGUGUUUUUUUCGUUAAUAAAAUUAUGUUAUAAUUUUGAAGAUCGAUUGAAGAAAACUUGUUUCAUGUAUUAUCGUUGUUAUAUACAACAACAAUUAUUUCCCUAAUACGAUCACAAUAGUACAUGUUUCAAACAUCUAAUAACACUUGUGUAUAUUGGCAUAUGUAUAUAGUACGGAUACGGGUUAACAAAGAUUCUUAUCGAGACACUUUCGUCCAAUCACAAACUAUUGUCUCAAUUCUUUACAUAACUCAAAAAGCUGGAACUGAUGUGUUUUGAGAUGCAAACUAUGCGCUUCCAGCGAGUCAAGCUCCAGCAGACAAAUUUUACACCCAUACGCGGUUCACUUCUUCUCGUGAAUCUUUGUAUGGGCACGUAGAUUCGAAAGCUGGGUAAACGGUUUUGGACAGGUGUCACACUUGAACGGGCGUUCACCUGAAACAAAAACGUUUUGAAGUUACCCGAGGUGUCCUUGCGGGCGUCGACCAAUCCUAGCUUACCAGUGUGCGAUCUGCGAUGGCGCUUCAGAUCUUCAUUCGAUUUGAAGGUAUUCGAACAGAACUCACAGUUGAAAAUCUUCUCCACAUCGAUCUGGUGUUCCAGCAAGUUGGAUUUGAGCUGAUCCGUCAUUUCGAACGUAUUGCUGCUUGUCACACUUGAAGAACCCGUUGGCUUUGGUGAGCAGUUUCAUGUGUACCUGAAAAAUGUUAAGCGUCGUAUGUAUUGGAUUCAUUUGUUCUCUUAAAAAACAAGGUUGGUCGCAAACCUGGGAAAGUAACUGUACGCCCUAUGUAUUUCUGUUCAAUGUCUGUUCAAUAUUUCGAUGAGAAUUCACUUACAAUUUCUGGGAGAAAGUUAUUCUCGAGCUGCGUGGAAAAUCAUAUCGCGAAACACAACAAUAAAACAAGACACAAUGUUAUAAUGAAAAUCGAUGCAAAAGUAGGCCGGGAUCCUUUAUCCGAAUUCUAAUUUUCAAUCGAAGCAAGCAUUUUGUUGAUGCGACGAUUUUGCUCACUGAGGAUUAUAGUUACAUGAGAGAAGCAACUAUAAUUCUCACCAGAAGCCAAAAUGGAGCGAGGACCAGUUACUUCAAAAAUUCCGUCAAUAUCAAGGAUUCCCAUAUGCUCUUGGGCCAGUCAGGAGACUGGAGCUAGGAAGGAAAAGGAUCGUUCUUCGAAGAAGGGUGUUGAAAAUGUAGGCGAUCAACAAAUGGAGAAAAAACAUCAAAUAUGGUUUUUCAACUACAGUGGAUGGUGGAUGUGGAUAGAAGAAGAAUCAUCGCCGCAGCUUGUCCCAAGUGAUAUCAAGGUAUCGUAUGCGAACUUCAUUGAUUCUAAUAUAGAGAGGAUCGAGGAUAUAACUCCUCCGGAGUUGGUUCCCAGUGACGCGCAUCUGGAGGAUGAUGACGAAGAUGUAUUUGACUGGGAACCAGGAAAUAUUUCGGAAAAGCUGAAGAUAAAAGCUGAAAGAAAUCUCUUGAAAAUAAAGGCAGAGAACGAGAAACUUCGGCAAGAGAACCAGCGAUUGAAGGCUAAAAAAGGCGUUAGCCUAAUAAACCGAUUAUGUUUCCGAUUCAUGCUAUUCAUGGUGGGCGAGGUGGCGGAAUCGGUUUUUAACUCAUUUUAAAUUAAUUGUAUCAACUAAAUGAGGUGGUGAAUGUUUGUUGUGUUGCAUUGUUUUGUGUAUUUUUUGUUGUUGUUGCGAGUUGUUGUUUGAUCCUGUUUUUUGUUAUAUAUUCCACGUUGUAAAUUGUACUUUGCUUUUGUCAUGAGUUUAGUUGAUAUUUUAAAUAUUUUAUUGUUUUCAUUUCCGUUUAGUUUCAUGCUUUGUUUCUCUU